rnacentral:Y_RNA from 1 species
GGUUGGUCCGAGUGCAGUGGUAUUUACAACUAAAUGAUCGUAACCGUUCACAGAUUCCUUCGUUACUUCUCCCUCCCACUGCUUCACUUGAGCAGCCUUGA